AGGGCGUGUGUGCAACUGCAACGGUUCGGUGAUGGAAACGUAGAGAAAGAGGAGGAGGAGGAGAAGGAGCAAAGGAAUAUUGUGGGAUGUGUUUCCGUUUUAAUGGCUCUGCCAACUCCUCCUGCUUUCUUUCUCCAAAUUUAAUGCUCUCCCUCUCUCACUCUCUCUCCUCAACCCUCUACUUAAGUUCACCACCACUGAAGGACAUUCCCUCCCAUCGACCACAGCACUCUCCGGCUCAAGUCCCAACUAGGAGAGCCUUCCCUGUUCCUUCCUUCAACUCCCCAUCUUCCUUUCUUCUUCUUCCUUGCUUCCCAUCUUCCCUUUCGCAUCCUUCUGCGAAAUAUCUCAUGCUUCAUUUUGAUCUCUGGGUUUCUUUCUUGAAGAUCAACGUGUUAAGUUCUUUUUGCUGUUCCUGUGUCUCAAGAAGGGUUGAGCUGCCUGCAGAGAAUAACUUUUUUGUUGCCAUCUUCACUAUCCUCUCAACGGACGAAGAGAGACAGGGAGAGAGCGAGAGGAAAUAAAUGAGGGGGGUGAGGGACGGAGGGUCUCUUUAAUGAGGGUAGUAAAUGUUAUUCGGCGCGGUUGAAAGAAUAGAAACUGUCGGCAUUUAAACAAAGGUGACCACGCAUUUAUAAUGGCAGUCAGACAAAGAUUCCUCUACUGCAGACCCUCAUUACUUCCACCAGACGAAGGUGGUUGAUACGUAAAGAAGAAAACUUGGUGCAGUUACAGGGGUUGGUGAGGAAGAUGCAUGAUGCAAUCCUUUUGAGGAACGAAGUCUUAAUUACGCUGUCGCGUCAUAGUCUGUUUCUAAUCCAGACUGAAACUCUGCUUUAUGAAUCUUCCAACUCGGUUGUUGGUUCAUCUCUCUGCUUACAGCUUGGAACGUUAUGGUUGGACUUGGGCAACUCUUCGAAUCCUUGAGCUUGAAUGCUUUAAUUCUUUUGUCUACUUCCAACUCCGUUUGUUGUUGGUAUGCCCAUGUAGCAAAAGUUGCAACUUUCAGUUGAUGCAUUUGCCAAUUCAAGCUCUUCUUUUCCCUGCAGCGUCGUUAAAAAUAUCAAAUUAGUUACAUUAUCAAAUCUAGAAAUCUUUUGAAAAAAAGUCGUCCUUCUUCCUUUUUUUUUUCCUCCAUCUGCUUUCACCA